GAUGAAGAACGUAGCGAAAUGCGAUAAGUAAUGUGAAUUGCAGAAUUCAGUGAAUCAUCGAAUCUUUGAACGCACAUUGCGCCCAUUAGUAUUCUAGUGGGCAUGCCUGUUCGAGCGUCAUUAUCACCCCUCAAGCCCGGCUUGUUGUUGGAUGCAGCGCUUAUCCCGCUCCUCCCAAAGAUAAUGACGGCGUCUGCGACGACUCCUGUACACUGAGCUUUCGGGCACGUACACGGCUAGAAGUCCAGACCCGGUCGCCGUCCCCCCCCGCGGGGGACACCCAUUACCACAAGGUUGACCUCGGAUCAGGUAGGAAUACCCGCUGAACUUAAGCAUAUCAAUAAGCGGAGGA
rnacentral:misc_RNA from 1 species